AAAUUUCUGGGAUGAAUAAACAGCUACACAAGAUGGAAUGAUCAAGUCCUCCUGACAGUGAAAACUAUUUAACUGCUCAUGGUGGGAAGCAUUAGAUCUUCAUAUACCACACCUUCAGGGGAUUCGUGGGAAUUAUUGAUUGCUCUGGCAUGACUGAAGACAUGAAGGCAUUAAUAGUGUGUUUUCAAAGAAUGAUGAGCAUCUCAGAAUAUAACAGGAACUCAAUAGGACAGACAAUCUAAGAGGUAAGUUAACAC
rnacentral:lncRNA from 1 species